CUUUGCUGAGUUGUGGGGCCUAAGAGAGGUUCUAUGACUUGGUAAAGAAUGAGUUUCGGGCGGUUUGUUGCGAAAUUGGACUCAGAGGCGGUGGUCAAGGUAAUGAGUGACAACCAUGCCCUUAGUGACUUUGCCAUCACGCUCAUCUCUGAUUGUAAAUUCAUUGUCUCGGGAUUUGAGGAGGUUAUCUUUACGCAGAUUAUGAGGGAAGGAAAUAUGUGUGCUGGUUUUCUUGCCAAUCUCGGUCAAUCGGCAUAAAUGGGAACGACAGUUCGACAGUUCUUGUGGCACCUCCAGAAAAUUUGUUGAGGCUCUUGAUUGGUGAUACUAGCGAAGCAAGAUUUAAAAGAGUCAGACAAUAUCCGCUUAACGCAGUGGCAAUUAUCACCAAAAACACAUACUAUGUAUUAAAUUAAUUCUCAAUUUAGUCAUGGACUAUAGCAAUAUUUUUUAUUUAAUGUAGUUUUUGAC